UCUAGUCUCUUCGUUUCCAAUCUGUGAGUUCCUGCGAUCGGAAAAAAACUGCUCGCGGCAACCGGCCGCCUAGUAGAUCGUCUGCGGUUGAAAAGGGAAUGCGACAGGCAAGCACCGUGCCGCCGUCGCGCCGAUACACACGAGGAUUCUGGCCGGCCGGCCGCACGAACCAGCGACCAAACGAGAAAAAAGACAUGAAGAGGAAGAGAGAUGAAUAAAUUUAUAUUUUUCUCUAGCCAAUUGGUUCAAUCUGUCAGUCAUGUGAGCAUGAUGCAGAUGCAAUAGAUGUGCAACCUAGCCAAGAGAACAACCCUUGUCCUGCUGAAGGUGAUGCUGAACCUGAUCAUCCAAGCCUUGUAUGUCCCCAUCGACAAAUGUGUUAGCCUAUAUAAAGAGGAUCAACGGAAGCACCAUCACGAUGAGCGACCAUGGAACUAUGCAUUACAUCCUCUAUGCCUUCAUGGUGCGACCCUUCUCAACAAUUUCAAAUUUCUAAUUUAAUUCGUCUAACAUGAAUGAUCAUUGAUUGAUGGACAUAAAAAUUGGAUUUGAAUAAAUUAUUUGUAGUACAGUGUGCCAAAUUUUUCUAUAUAAAUUCAAAAACUGAAUUUGUCUGUAUCAAGAUGGACAA